UACGGAGGGGGCUAGCGUUGUUCGGAAUUACUGGGCGUAAAGCGCGCGUAGGCGGCUUUGUAAGUUAGAGGUGAAAGCCCGGGGCUCAACUCCGGAACUGCCUUUAAGACUGCAUCGCUUGAAUCCAGGAGAGGUGAGUGGAAUUCCGAGUGUAGAGGUGAAAUUCGUAGAUAUUCGGAAGAACACCAGUGGCGAAGGCGGCUCACUGGACUGGUAUUGACGCUGAGGCGCGAAAGCUAGGGGAGCGAACGGG
rnacentral:rRNA from 1 species